rnacentral:lncRNA from 1 species
CAAAAGUGAAAUAAGGAAACGAUUAAUUUGCAAGAAAAGAGAAAGAAAAUAAAAAUGCACGAGUGGUCAGUUAAUAUUUCGGCACUUAAGAGAAAGGAAGAAACUCCAAACCCCCCAAAAGACAAAAGGAAAAUCGGUCAUCCAAAAAAAACUCACAAAAUGCCUAAAAUGCUUCCUAAAGCCCCAUAGCAGAAAAAGCACAAGCAAGACUCCCCAAACGGCACAACACUCCUACACUCUCCAACUUCCUUGAUUCACUCCCCCAAUCUCUCUAUAACUUGCUCCUACAAUCCCUCCAAGACCC